rnacentral:lncRNA from 1 species
CGAUAAACCUACCUGACUUCGCUUCUUUUGUUUUGAAUUCUGUGAAAGUAAAUGUUGAAUUGUGCAACCAGUUUUGCAACUGAGUUUUUUUUAAAGCUGAGAGAUAACUGGAAGAAAAGAAGGGAAAUUUUGGCCGUGACUUAAACACGUGUCAGAAACCUGCUCUAUCCACUUGUACGGCCUAUUUGUAAAAGUUUCUUUCCUGCUUUGGUCGUCCUUGGAAAUGCACUGUUACCACUUUCCUCACAACAAAAUGUCUCUAGGAGUUCUAAGCAAGGUGAUAGCUGCAAUCGGUAUUUUAUGUUGCGUUGCUGGAGCUAUAGUCUAUGGAUUAUUUCCAAAUAUCAUCAAAUCGAAGGUGGAAGAAGUAAGUAAGCAUUUUUCAUCUCAAAUUCUAAUCUUUAGAUAUCGGUCUCUAAUUCUCGACAACAGCGUAAUCAGAUCUCUGCUAGGAUAUAGUUUAGAAACUGGAAUGCGAUUCUUGUCGAAUAAAAUAUCGAAUACUUCCUGAUAGAAAUGAUUGUGACAUUCGAGUAAACCUACAUUUGAAAAGUAGGUCGAGAGUUCUUACAGUCGGUGCAUAAUUCUAUCGUUCAUCCGAUGCAAAUAUUUCGAAUAAAUAUUAUUUGCUUUCGGAAAGUGUCGUUUUGUAGUUAAAAAUAAGAGGAAUGCAAUUUUCCUUAUAGUUAGAAAAUGAUGAUAACGUACCAAAAAAAAAAAAAAAACUUUGUUGUUAUUUAGGUAAAACAUUAUUUUGGAAAAAUAUUAAUAUA